GUCAUUGUUUUUCUAUUCUCCAAGAAAAGUUACAAGCCCCCUAAGAAGCCUUUAACAGAGAAGGAAAUAGAUGAUCUAUGUGAGGAAUGGGUUCCUGAACCUCUCAUUCCUCCUAUCACAGAAGAUAUGCAGUAUGAACCCCCAGUGUUGGAAAGUGCUGCAGGGCCACAUACAAUAGUCAAUGGCAAAGAAGUAGUGAACUUUG